rnacentral:sRNA from 1 species
AGAGUUAAACAGUACGUGAAAUUGUUGAAAGGGAAACGAUUGAAGUCAGUCAUACCAACGGGAAAUCAACCUCUUGAGUUUGGUCUUGUGGUUUCGAAGAGUUUAAAAGCCUUCGAUUUUGCGAGGAUUGGGCUCUUUUGGUGUACUUUCUCGUACGGUUAGUCAACAUCGGUUUUGAAUGUCAUAAAAUGACUGGAGGAAUGUGGCUUCGAUCUCGUAUUGAAGUGUUAUAGCCUUUGGUAGAUGUGAUGUUCGAGACCGAGGAUUGCAAUGGAUACCCUUCUGGGCUAUUCGUCUGAUCUCUGAUACGUUGCCUUGAUGUCGAAAGCUUGCUUAUGAUGUUAGGGUAUUACGGUCAAAAGGUUAGAACGGAUUAAAUUCGUUAAGGAUGUUGACGUAAUGACUUUAAACGACC